UGCAUGAGGAGGCUGCCCUGCUUGUUCUUUUAAGUUCGCUUGCAAGACCUAGAAGUCUCCACCUGUUUCGGGGCCUGGUUUAAACCAGAGCAUCAGAGGUUUUGGAGAACCUGAGAUCCUGUUUCCAGGGUUCAUGCUGGUAUGUGCUGGCCUGUUGUCAGGGUGAAGCCAUCCCCACUCCCCUCAUCUCAGCAGCAGACCACCCACACUGGAGCCGCUGGCUAUGCCUGUCCUUCGAGGUAGGGCUGUGAUGUCCCAUUCCAUCAGAACUGCAGGCUCCCAGUGGGUGCUACCUGCUCAGCAGGUGAGAGAUGCAGAACAGGAGCACAGGACCCUGCAGCGCCCUGCACCUGGCAGGGGCGGGGUCCUUUCCGAAUAACUGGCAUGCACCUGACCUGCCCCACUGACCUCCUGCAGACCUGGGUGGGAUGGGGAGGGGCUCCAGCCACCAUAUCCCACUGAAGCUGCUGCAACAGGACAUGGUCAGUGGCGGAGGACCUUCACUUUGCCAGGUCACGGCCUCCUGCCACAGCGCCGAUGAGCAGUGUGCCCCAUUCUUGGUAAGGUUUUUCCUCUUUUAUUGCCAAACUCAAAUUUAUACACAAGUUCCAGUUUUUAUUUCCACCCUCGUGCUCAGUACCCAGGAAGCAUGAGUCACUCAGGCAAAAGCAGGUACUUCCCUAGGAUGGCCAGAAGUGCUGAGAUUGCUCAACUCCCGCUCCUCCCUGGGACAAGAGCUAUUUACAUAUUUUCAGCUCACAGGGACAGAAGACAACCUUACAGGUUAUGCCUGACAGUAACCUCACUACGUUACACAUUUCAUAUUUAUUGCAUCUAGAAAAGGUCAGAAUUGGUUUGCCAGUGCCUUUUUAAAAACAGUGCAUCUUGGAGGCCUCACAGAAACUCAGUGCCUGUCUUUAGGAGGUGUAUUUUGUCACCCGUGCCUGGAACGCUAUGCAGGCAUCUGGAUGAUGGUGGUGAGGGGGAGCUGCCUUCUGCACGUAGAGCAGCCAGGCAGGGCAGGCGGUGGGGGGCCUGCUCCUCUGUGGCUCCCUCUUCUGAGGGAGCGCACCUUUCCCUAUUUGCCCUACAGGGGUUGCCCUGGAUGCCCAAGCCUCUAAACCAGAAAGCGAUGUGCAACUUUCAAAGCAGAGAGGUUUGGGGAUUCAGCGGCAAAUACUGCUAGGCAAGGCCAAUUGGCCUGGCAGUGGACUUGGGGAAGGUGACCAAGCAGGCCACGGUGCUCUCUGCAGGACUUGGAGGCGGUGGAUGGGUGGGUGCUGGAGGGCUCACCCCAGAUGCCUGUGCAGGACCUGCAGGCAGGAGCUGUGGCCCUAGCAAUGGGCUCACCCAGACCCCUGACCCUACUGAGAGGUCUGCCUGUUCUGUCUGGGCUGGCUGGGGUGGGGUGCUCCUAAACACACAACCGUGUCCACCAUCACCAAGAUGGCCAAGACCUGGGUGAGGCAGGUCCUUCGUCAGAGCCCAAGGGGCCAACUGCCACCUCUACCAUGAGGCCAGCUGGAGCCACUGAUUUCAGGCAGCAGUUGGUGAUCCCAAGAAGGGGCCCACCUGCAUGGUUAUCGAUCCUUAUGAUGCUGGGCAGGGGAUCACUGCUUUCUCUCAUCUCUGCUGCACCAAAGGAAUCAUUCCAAAGCCAGAAGGACAUGGCUCUGGGGCGUCUGCUCCAUGUCCACCUGCCUCCCUCUGACAGAUCAGGCAGAACACAUGGCCUGCAGCUGGAUGACAUGGGCCUCUCCCCAAUGACCACGUCUUUCCUCCCACCUGACUGCACAGACCUGUUCCCAAUGGCUCCUCAGAUAAACAGAGAUCGCAUCAGCUGCAGGCGUGCAGAGUUAGUAACAGAGAAAGAAUAAUCAUUUAAGAAAGUGGAGAAACCAAGAACUCUAAGACAAGACGUUGACAAAUUCAAGGGAAAACGAAACCUUAACAGUAUCAUCACACUUUCAACAUGACAUCAAACCCUGGCGUUGAGGACUUUUUCCCCCCAAAUAGGUGCUUUUUAAAUAAAUGCUUUUUAAUCUGCUGCCAAAACCA
rnacentral:lncRNA from 1 species